GGGGCGGUGGCGCAGUUGGCUAGCGCGUAGGUCUCAUAAUCCUGAGGUCGAGAGUUCGAGCCUCUCUCGCCCCA